rnacentral:rRNA from 1 species
CAGUAGCCGCGGGUAAUACGUAGGUGGCAAGCGUUGUCCGGAAUUAUUAGGCGUAAAGGGCUCGCAGGCGGCCUCUUAAGUCUGAUGUGAAAGCCCCCGGCUCAACCGGGGAGGGUCAUUGGAAACUGGGAAACUUGAGUGCAGAAGAGGAGAGUGGAAUUCCACGUGUAGCGGUGAAAUGCGUAGAGAUGUGAAGGAACACCAGUGGCGAAGGCGACUCUCUGGUCUGUAGCUGACGCUGAGGAGCGAAGGCGUGGGGAGCGAACAGGAUUAGAUACCCGGGUAGUCCCUGUCUCUUAUU